CAAUUUAAAUUCUAUAAUAGAAAUUUCAUUUACAUUGAAUUUAAAAUCGUGCAAUUCGGUUUAAAUUGA
rnacentral:tRNA from 1 species